rnacentral:misc_RNA from 1 species
AAAGUCGUAACAAGGUUUCCGUAGGUGAACCUGCGGAAGGAUCAUUAUCAUAACGUAUCCACGUAUAAACCAAUUUCUUUAAUGAAUGUGAAUUGUAAUGUAAAAACCUUUAGUAAUUAGUGAUUGCUAUCUCUGAUUUUAUUGAUUAAGAAAUCUUGAUAGACUUGACUCUUCACGGGGUCUAGCAUUAAUUAUUGAAGUGUAAUUUAUUAAUCUACUAUUAACCCAUUGAACCGAUUAACUAUUAUGUAGUUAUUCAUUCUUUUUAUUGUGAACUGAAUUGUUUCUUACUCGAAUGCUAAACACAUUUGAGAAGGAAUUAUAUUUACGAAACAUAAAUUAUGAACAACUCUUAGCAACGGAUAUCUUGGUUCUC